GACGAACGCUGGCGGCGUGCUUAACACAUGCAAGUCGAACGGAAAGGCCCUGCUUUUGUGGGGUGCUCGAGUGGCGAACGGGUGAGUAACACGUGAGUAACCUGCUCUAGACUUUGGGAUAACUUCAGGAAACUGGGGCUAAUACCGGAUAGGAGAUCCUGCUGCAUGGUGGGGGUUGGAAAGUUGCGGCGGUUGGGGAUGGACUGGCGGCUUACGAGCUUGUUGGUGGGGUAGUGGCUUACCAAGGCUUUGGCGGGUAGGCGGCCUGGGAGGGUGGCCGGCGACAUUGGGACUGAGAGACGGCGCAGACUCCUACGGGAGGCAGCAGGGGGAAAUAUUGCACAAUGGGCGGGAGCCGGAUGCAGAGACGCCGCGUGCGGGAUGACGGCCUUCGGGUUGUAAACCGCUUUCGCCUGUGACGAAGCGUGAGUGACGGUAAUGGGUAAAGAAGCACCGGCUAACUACGUG
rnacentral:rRNA from 1 species